GCGUUCGUGAGGUUAGUGGUAGCCUGCUUGGUUCCCAACCAGGAUGCGCGGGUUCGAGUCCCGCCGAACGCU
rnacentral:tRNA from 2 species